rnacentral:rRNA from 1 species
GACGAACGCUGGCGGCGUGCUUAACACAUGCAAGUCGAACGGAAAGGCCCUGCUUUUGUGGGGCGCUCGAGUGGCGAACGGGUGAGUAACACGUGAGUAACAUGUACCUGACUUAGGGGUAUAUUCAGGAAACAGGGGCUCUUACCGCAUAGGAUCUCUUGCUGCAUGGUGGGGGUUGGAAAGAUUCGGCUGUUGGGGAUGGACUGGCGGCUUAUCAGCUUGUUGGUGGGGUAGUGGCUUACAAAGUUUAUGACGGGUAGCCGGCCUGGGAGGGGGGCCGGCCACAUGAGUACUGAGAUAAGGCCCAGACUCGAACCGGACGCAACGGUGGGGAGUCUUACACAGGGGGCGGGAGCGAGAUGUGGCAACGCUGCGAGCGGGAAGACGGGUUUCUGGUGGUGAACCGAUGUCGCCUGUGACGAGGCGAGAGUGACGGUAAUGGGUAAAGAAGCACCGGCUAACUACGUG